rnacentral:rRNA from 1 species
CAGCCGCCGCGGUAAUACAGAGGGUGCGAGCGUUAAUCGGAUUUACUGGGCGUAAAGCGUGCGUAGGCGGCUUUUUAAGUCGGAUGUGAAAUCCCUGAGCUUAACUUAGGAAUUGCAUUCGAUACUGGGAAGCUAGAGUAUGGAAGAGGAUGGUAGAAUUCCAGGUGUAGCGGUGAAAUGCGUAGAGAUCUGGAGGAAUACCGAUGGCGAAGGCAGCCAUCUGGCCUAAUACUGACGCUGAGGUACGAAAGCAUGGGGAGCAAACAGGAUUAGAUACCCCUGUAGUCCCUGUCUCUUAUAC